rnacentral:sRNA from 1 species
GUUUACCACAGACUGAUUGAUCUAAACAAGAGUGAAGUUCUUCUGCCAUAUUCCUGGUCACAAAAACAUCGGAUGCAGAGGGCUCUACGUGUUUGCACCU